rnacentral:rRNA from 1 species
GACGAACGCUGGCGGCGUGCUUAACACAUGCAAGUCGACAUGAGUGGCGUACGGGUGAGUAAUACGCGGGUAACCUGCCCUCCUUUUUGGGAUUAGCCCUGGAAACGGGGUCUAAUACCGAAUAAAGGGGGAUGGGCUCGCGGCCUAUCAGAUUGUUGUGGGGGUGAUGGCCUACCAAGGCGGUGACGGUAAGCCGGCCUCAGGGGAUGAGCGGCCACAAUGGGACGGAGAUACGGCCCAGACUCCUACGGGGGUCAGCAGUGUGGGAUAUUGCGGAAUGGGCGAAAGCCUGAUGCAGCGAUGCCGCGUGGGGGGUGAAGGCUUUCGGGUUGUAAACCUCUGUCGCUAUCGACCGGGUAGGUGGUGAAGAAGCGCCGGCUAACUACGUGCCAGCAGCCGCGGUAAUUC